GUGUUUCGUAAUAAUAGGAAAAAAAAAUUACUUUCCAAAAGGAUAAUAAAUACUACCCAAAACCCUGGCCUCCUAAUUGAUGUUUUGUGAUUGAAGUUUUCUGGUCGAAAUCAAGUUAAAAGACAAAAAAAAACACACACACAAAUCAAAGUAAAACAUCAACAGAUACAUUAAAAAAAAAAAUAAACAUACAGGUCGCAAUAAUUUAUUGGUAUUAUUACAUGCGUGUUUUUAGUUUUAUUUUGUUGUUUCUGUAAACGUCUGUUCAAUCCAAUUUCCGUUCUAAUCAUUAAUUACAAAAGUGAAUUUUGACAGGAAAUUUUAUCUAGUUGAUACGUUAGGGAUGUUAUUAUUUUGAUUUUUCUUGUAUUUUUCUAAACAGUUGAGGAAAUCCGGGAAAUUUGCAAAAAACUGGAUGACUAUCG